UUUACAUGUACAUCUGAAGGGAAUAAGAGGAGGGCAAACUUAUUGGCAAAGAUCUCUGUAUUUUUAUGUCCAGGAACAGGUGAAAAAGGUCUUUGAAGAAGAAGAGAAAUGUUGGUGCAUGAAGUCUUUUGCCAACACAGUGAUGAUCCAGAGGAAGCGAGGAAGAAACUGCUAGAAAUAUGGAAUGGGUGAUGCAGACCGUCAUCUAAGAAAACUGCACCUGAGGGUACUGAUGCUGAAAAAGCAUUCAUCUGUUCCGUGAUUUGGAGAAGCUUGUUUCCAAGCAAAAGGGCAAGGGUUUGAAGUCAAAGACCUGCAUUACCAUAGUCAAUGUCACACGUUUUGAAAAUGAUGUAUUGUUACACUUGAAAACUGGGUUGCUUCAUUCCUGAAGUAAGUGCUUGUGAUAAAUUUUUUGACAAAUGGAAAUGCACUGCAAGGACAGGUGAUACCUCUAUGAUAAAGAUAUAUUUAAGAUAUUUUAUAUUUGCAAAUAGCAGUG